rnacentral:rRNA from 1 species
UACGGAGGGUGCAAGCGUUAUCCGGAUUCACUGGGUUUAAAGGGUGCGUAGGUGGGCAGGUAAGUCAGUGGUGAAAUCCCCGGGCUCAACCUGGGAAUUGCAUCUGUGACUGCAUAGCUAGAGUACGGUAGAGGAGGAUGGAAUUCCGCGUGUAGCAGUGAAAUGCGUAGAUAUGCGGAGGAACACCGAUGGCGAAGGCAGGUCUCUGGGCCGAUACUGACGCUGAGGAGCGAAAGCGUGGGGAGCGAACAGG